UAUCUCUGUAGAGUCUGCAUAUCAAUAAGCGGAGGAAAAGAAACUAACAAGGAUUCCCUUAGUAACGGCGAGUGAAGCGGGAAGAGCUCAAAUUUGAAAUCUUCAAGGUUCUACCUUGACGAAUUGUAGUUUAAAGAAGUGUUUUACUGUUGAAGUUAGGUAAAAGUUCCUUGGAAUAGGACAUCAUAGAGGGUGAGAAUCCCGUAUUUGACCGUUAUUUUCAGCUGUGUGAUACACUUUCAAAGAGUCGGAUUGUUUGGGAAUGCAGUCCAAAAUGGGUGGUAAAUUUCAUCUAAAGCUAAAUAUUGGCGAGAGACCGAUAGCGAACAAGUACCGUGAGGGAAAGAUGAAAAGAACUUUGAAAAGAGAGUUAAACAGUACGUGAAAUUGUCAAAAGGGAAGCGUUUGACACCAGUGUUGUUUUUCUCGAAAAUCAAUUACGAAUGGCUUGAUUCUGUGUUGUAUUGACCUUAUCAGCUUUCUUCACUUUUUUCGAGUCUUUCUUAAUGCACUUUUCGGUUAACAAGUCAACAUCAAUUUCUUUUGUUGUAAAAGAGUCAUUCGGAAGGUGGCUUUCACUUUCGGAUGAAAGUGUUUAUAGCCUUAUAGCUUCUACAAUCGGAGAGAUUGAGGUCUGCAGCGUAGAUCCUUCGGGGCUAGAUACGUAGAUGCUAAGUUAUAGUUUUUUAUAGACAACUUGUUGACUAUAAUUAAUCAUGUAGCUUACUCGUUUGCGCUAUUUUACCUACGCUUAGGAUGUUGAAGAUGUAGCACAUCAU
rnacentral:rRNA from 1 species